CUCUGCACAGGUUUUGAUAAAUCUCCCCAAAAGUGAUUACAUGACAUUAUGGGAACUGAAUGAAGACUCCAAUUGAUUUUUCUGGGUUUAACCGUUUCGGCCCUUUGGAAGGUCAUUUUUAAGAUCUUCAGGGCAGCCGCACUAAAGUAUAAAUCCAUGUAUAAAUCAAUUUUUUUCCACUAUUUCCAAAUUGUGGUGAAAAAUCACAGCAAGAACAGAAAAAAAAUCAUCAAAAACAAAUUGUGUGAGGACAGCUCUAACAGCAGUGUAUAACUGCUAUAUAUAGAGAGAGAGAUAACAGCAGCAGUAUACAGAAGGGUCUUGGAGCUCUUAGGAGGGAUCUGGUUACAUGCUCCCCUUACAAGUCUAUGGAGAAGGAAAGGGGGUUUACUGGAGAGGGACAGAGGAAAAGAGACAGAUACAAGUAAAGGAUCUG